rnacentral:lncRNA from 8 species
CUGUACCGUCAGAGUCCUUAAAUAAAAGCUCCUCCGAUGAUGAACCGUUGCUUACAUUAAUAAACAAGAAGCACCAGCCCAAUGAGACCCAGGGUAAAAAAAAAGCCUGAAUAUCACUAGACAAGAUUCAGGGUUAGAUGACACUUCAGAUGAUGAACCCUUGAGAAAGUUGGAGAGACUUCCCAAACCUAAAAAAGCCACUGUACAAGCAAAAGGGCAAGGGACUACUUAUAUCAAAAGAGGAACAGGUAAUGGCAUCCAGAAGACAAACAACAAGAUCGCAGGUGAGAACCUCUCUCAAGCUCCUCUAAAUGCAUGUCCUGAAUACUGUAAAAUACACACACACACACACACACACACACACACACACACACACACACACACACACACACACACACACACACACACACACACACACACACACACACACACAACUACUAUUCUGAAUGGAAGGAGGCAUCAAUUUGUUGUAAUUAUAGGUUCAACCCAGGAUGAGGACUCCUAUGACAGCUCAGACGAUGAACCCUUGAUAAAGAUGGUUAAAAAGCUCCCUAAACAGACAUCGUUGCCAUUCAAAAAGAGACCCUUCAACACAGCCAGAGAGGUGAACGAUGUGAAGGGCAGAAAUAACGUCCAGAACACUCAUAACCUAUGCACAGACUCAUCAGGUGACAGCUCCGAUAAUGUGCCACUGAUCAAGAUGGUAGACAAGCUGAAGACACAAACCCGAACAAAGACACUCCCUACAACAGCCAGAAAAACACCCAGUAAAGUUCUUAAAAAACACAACAGGAGUAUAGAAUCCUCCGAUGACAGCUCAGAUGAUGAACCAUUGAUUCAUCUAACCAGGUCUCCAUCUAAAGACACUGUGAGGACAAUACUGAAGAGCUGUGUCGCUAAAGAAUCCAACGGCAACAACUGUAGUCAAAGAAAAGGCAAAACCAGCAGAGAGGAAGAGGUGAAUUCUGAUGACGAGCCCUUAAUUAGCCUAGUUAAAAAGCCUCUUAAAGCUGUAAAGAAGACCACGACACCAGCGAAGAAGAGUGUGCCAGGAAAGACAAACAAAGCAGUCAACAGACGGAGCACCAGCAUUGUUCAAAGCACGAGUGAAGGGUCUUUGGAUGAUCGAUUAGAUGAUGAGCUGUUGAUUAAGAAGAUGGUGAGGAAUCCAUCAAUAAAGACCCUGAUGGUUAUUCUGGAGAGGUGUGAAACUAAAGAAGCCUUGGAAGAUUACUAUAGAGCCAACGUGGGAAACGCUGGCGAAAGAAGUGCAGAAGCUAUGGCAGAGAAGAGAAAUCGGUCACAAGACUGCUCUGACGAUGAACCUUUGAUAAAGAUGGUUGGAAACCCAGAGUCAUGA